UACGUAAGGUGCAAGCGUUGUCCGGAAUUAUUGGGCGUAAAGAGCGUGUAGGCGGUUUGGUAGGUCCGCUGUGAAAACUCGAGCUCAACCUCGAGACGCCGGUGGAAACCAUCAGACUAGAGUCCGGAAGAGGAGAGUGGAAUUCCUGGUGUAGCGGUGAAAUGCGCAGAUAUCAGGAAGAACACCCGUGGCUAAGGCGGCUCUCUAGUACGGUACUGACGCUGAGACGCGAAAGCGUGGGGAGCGAACAGG
rnacentral:rRNA from 1 species